rnacentral:siRNA from 1 species
CUGAGUCUACUAUGCAGACA